rnacentral:rRNA from 1 species
CCUACGGGCGGCAGCAGUGAGGAAUAUUGGUCAAUGUGCGGAAGCCUGAACCAGCCAAGUAGCGUUCAGGAUGACGGCCCUACGGGUUGUACACUGCUUUUAUACGGGAAUAACGCGCCUUACGUGUAGGGCUUUGCAUGUACCGUAUUAAUAAGGACCGGCUACUUCCUUGCCCGCAGCCGCGGUAAUACGGAAGGUCCGGUCGUUAGCCGGAUUUCUUGUGUUUAAGGGAGCGUAGGCCGCAUGUCAAGCGUGCUGUGAAAUGUCCGGGCGCAACCCGGGCCUUGCAGCGCGAACUGGCGUGCUUGAGUCCGCGGAAAGCAGGCGGAAUUCGGCGUGUAGCGGUGAAAUGCUUAGAUAUGACGAAGAACCACGAUUGCGAAGGCAGCUUGCUGCAGCGGAACUGACGCUGAUGCUCGAAAGCGCGGGUAUCGAACAGGAUUAGAUACCCUAGUAGUC